CAGGAGUACUAUGCCUUUCAUGGGUACAGAGCCAAGAAACAAUAAUUUCACAAAGUCUGCUAGCAAGAAGUGGAUCCUCAAGAGAUGUGGAUUGCCAAAAUGUGCAAAGCAGGGUGCAGCUGAUGGCAGGGCAGGUCACAGUGCUGAUGAUUCUGAGGAGCAUCAUCUCCAUGACAGCAAGGGUCUGACGUUUAUUACCUCACCAAUUUCAGCUAAAAUCUAAGGAGGAAAUUGAUUUAGGAUGAAAACAGGUAAUAAUAGCUUGAUUAGAAUCAUUUUCAGCUUCAAAGAACUCUCAUGUUCUUCUGAAUAAAAUAAUGAUCAUUAAAUCAAUUUGUGUAUCUCUGAUCAUUUUUUUGCCUUUUCUGAAGGUGAUGUUCUUUGC